rnacentral:rRNA from 1 species
GACGAACCGUGCGAACGUUGUUCGGAUUCACUGGGCGUAAAGGGCGCGCAGGUGGGUGAACAAGUCGGAAGUGAAAUCUUGAGGCUCAACCUCGAGGCUGCUCCCGAAACUGUUCGCCUAGGGACUGGUAGAGGCUGGUAGAAUUCCCGGUGUAGCGGUGGAAUGCGUAGAGAUCGGGAGAAUACCCGUGGCGAAGGCGGCCAGCUGGGCCAGGUCCGACACUGAGGCGCGAAAGCGUGGGGAGCAAACAGG